rnacentral:rRNA from 1 species
GAUGAAGGUUUUACGGAUCGUAAAACUCUGUUGUUAGGGAAAAACAAGUACCGUUCAAAUAGGGCGGUACCUUGACGGUACCUAACCAAAAAGCCACGGCUAACUACGUGCCACCACCCGCGGUAAUACUUAGGUGGCAAGCGUUGUCCGGAAUUAUUGGGCGUAAAGCGCGCGCAGGCGGUUUCUUAAUUCUGAUGUGAAAGCCCCCGGCUCAACCGGGGAGGGUCAUUGGAAACUGGGGAACUUGAGUGCAGAAAAGGAAAGUGGAAUUCCACGUGUAGCGGUGAAAUGCUUAGAGAUGUGAAGGAACACCAGUGCCAAAGGCAACUCUCUGGUCUGUAACUGACGCUAAGGCGCG